rnacentral:rRNA from 1 species
GCAAGUCGAGCGCUCACUUCGGUGGGAGCGGCGGACGGGUUAGUAACGCGUGGGAAUAUACCCAGAUCUAAGGAAUAGCCACUGGAAACGGUGAGUAAUACCUUAUACGCCCUUCGGGGGAAAGAUUUAUCGGAUUUGGAUUAGCCCGCGUUAGAUUAGAUAGUUGGUGGGGUAAUGGCCUACCAAGUCUACGAUCUAUAGCUGGUUUUAGAGGAUGAUC